UACGGAGGGUGCGAGCGUUGUCCGGAAUCAUUGGGCGUAAAGGGCGCGUAGGUGGCCCGGUCAGUUCGUGGUGAAAGCGCGGGGCUCAACCCUGCGUCGGCCAUGAAUACUGCCGCGGCUGGAGCACUGUAGAGGCAGGCGGAAUUCCGGGUGUAGCGGUGGAAUGCGUAGAGAUCCGGAAGAACGCCGGUGGCGAAGGCGGCCUGCUGGGCAGUUGCUGGACACUGAGGCGCGACAGCGUGGGACAA
rnacentral:rRNA from 1 species